rnacentral:rRNA from 1 species
CCUACGGGAGGCAGCAGUGAGGAAUAUUGGUCAAUGGACGAGAGUCUGAACCAGCCAAGUAGCGUGAAGGAUGACUGCCCGAUGGGUUGUAAACUUCUUUUAUAUGGGAAUAAAAUGUUCCACGUGUGGGAUUUUGUAUGUACCAUAUGAAUAAGGAUCGGCUAACUCCGUGCCAGCAGCCGCGGUAAUACGGAGGAUCCGAGCGUUAUCCGGAUUUAUUGGGUUUAAAGGGAGCGUAGGUGGAUUGUUAAGUCAGUUGUGAAAGUUUGCGGCUCAACCGUAAAAUUGCAGUUGAAACUGGCAGUCUUGAGUACAGUAGAGGUGGGCGGAAUUCGUGGUGUAGCGGUGAAAUGCUUAGAUAUCACGAAGAACUCCGAUUGCGAAGGCAGUUCACUGGACUGCAACUGACACUGAGGCUCGAAAGUGUGGGUAUCAAACAGGAUUAGAUACCCGAGUAGUC